UGCAAGUCGAGCGCAGUAGCAAUACUGAGUGGCAAACGGGUGAGUAUAAUGUGGGUAUCUGCCUUUUGGUUUGGAAUAACACGGGGAAACUUGUGCUAAUACCGAAUAAGCCCUUACGGGGAAAGUUUUAAUGCCGAAAGAUGAGCCCGCACUUGAUUAGCUAGUUGGUAAGGUAAAAGCUUACCAAGGCAACGAUCAAUAGCUGUUCUUAGAGGAAGACCAGCCACAUUGGGACUGAGACACGGCCCAGACUCCUACGGGAGGCAGCAGUGGGGAAUCUUGCACAAUGGGGGAAACCCUGAUGCAGCGAUGCCGCGUGAGUGAAGAAGGCCCUUGGGUUGUAAAACUCUUUCGUCGGGGAAGAAAAUGACUGUACCCGAAUAAGAAGGUCCGGCUAACUUCGUGCCAGCAGCCGCGGUAAUACGAAGGGACCUAGCGUAGUUCGGAAUUACUGGGCUUAAAGAGCUCGUAGGUGGUUAAAAAAGUUGAUGGUGAAAUCCCAAGGCUUAACCUUGGAACUGCCAUCAAAACUUUUUAGCUAGAGUGUGAUAGAGGUAAGUGGAAUUUCUAGUGUAGAGGUGAAAUUCGUA
rnacentral:rRNA from 1 species